rnacentral:rRNA from 1 species
UACAGAGGGUGCAAGCGUUGUUCGGAAUUAUUGGGCGUAAAGCGCGUGUAGGCGGCUUUGCAAGUCGGGUGUGAAAGCCCUCAGCUCAACUGAGGAAGUGCGCCCGAAACUGCAGAGCUUGAGUGCCGGAGAGGGUGGCGGAAUUCCCCAAGUAGAGGUGAAAUUCGUAGAUAUCAAGCGGAACACCGGUGGCGAAGGCGGCCUUCUGGACAGUGACUGACGCUGAGACGCGAAAGCGUGGGGAGCAAACAGG